GCCUUAGUGGUGUAGUGGUCAGCACAUUCGGCGCGUAUUCGAGAAGUCUGUUGUUCGAAUCCCGGCAAGGGCA
rnacentral:tRNA from 1 species